UACGUAGGGUUCAAGCGUUGUCCGGAAUUAUUGGGCGUAAAGAGCUCGUAGGCGGUCUGUCGCGUCGGCUGUGAAAACUCGGGGCUCAACUCCGAGCUUGCAGUCGAUACGGGCAGGCUAGAGUUCGGCAGGGGAGACUGGAAUUCCUGGUGUAGCGGUGAAAUGCGCAGAUAUCAGGAGGAACACCGGUGGCGAAGGCGGGUCUCUGGGCCUGUACUGACGCUGAGGAGCGAAAGCGUGGGGAGCGAACAGG
rnacentral:rRNA from 1 species